ensembl:lncRNA
GUCUACGGCUGUAGAUAUGACGGGUCAGCCUCACCGCGCGCGGUUUUCUCCGGUGGAAUGUACAGUCGAGCCGCAUGUGAGGGUACUUCAUGGCACAGCUGAUGCCCGGAGGGAUUAAAGGGAGGCAGCCAAACUAGAUGAGCAAGAUACAGUUAGCCUAUAAUGUCAACACAUGAUCUGAAGUUGCAGCAGUCAAGUUGUCAAAGCGGAGUGAAAGCCAGCGUGACUUGCUAUUUCCCAGAUCAGGAGAUAUUGUACACACAAACUGACAAAUCACGCUAAUUUUCUGGAUUCUGCUUCAGGGGCGCUUCUCCGAUUCAGACUGGAUGGGAUAAGCUGUCGGAACAUGACCAAAAGGACUUUGCUUGUGUCUCAGUGCGUGAUAUUUGUGAGAUUCCUCAGAUCAGUCAGGAUCCAGUGGUCCAGUCCAGUGGUGAGCCAACAUCAAACAUUAUUUUAUACAUUUACUCGCUAUUACAAUCAAUAUCACUUCAGCUAGUUGGCAAAGAAGCAUUUCUGCUUUUCGUUUAAAGUUGACGUAGACUACUACAAUAACUAAAACUAUAAAAGCUAUAUGCCUG